UAGUGGCGAACGGGUGAGUAACACGUGGGCAAUCUGCCCUUCACUCUGGGACAAGCCCUGGAAACGGGGUCUAAUACCGGAUAUCACUUCUGCUCGCAUGGGUGGGGGUUGAAAGCUCCGGCGGUGAAGGAUGAGCCCGCGGCCUAUCAGCUUGUUGGUGAGGUAGUGGCUCACCAAGGCGACGACGGGUAGCCGGCCUGAGAGGGCGACCGGCCACACUGGGACUGAGACACGGCCCAGACUCCUACGGGAGGCAGCAGUGGGGAAUAUUGCACAAUGGGCGGAAGCCUGAUGCAGCGACGCCGCGUGAGGGAUGACGGCCUUCGGGUUGUAAACCUCUUUCAGCAGGGAAGAAGCGUAAGUGACGGUACCUGCAGAAGAAGCGCCGGCUAACUACGUGCCAGCAGCCGCGGUAAUACGUAGGGCGCAAGCGUUGUCCGGAAUUAUUGGGCGUAAAGAGCUCGUAGGCGGCUUGUCACGUCGGGUGUGAAAGCCCGGGGCUUAACCCCGGGUCUGCAUUCGAUACGGGCUGGCUGGAGUGUGGNAGGGGAGAUCGGAAUUCCU
rnacentral:rRNA from 1 species